AGUGAACGCUGGCGGUAGGCCUAACACAUGCCAGUCGAACGGCAGCACAGUAAGAGCUUGCUCUUACGGGUGGCGAGUGGCGGACGGGUGAGGAAUACAUCGGAAUCUACUUUUUCGUGGGGGAUAACGUAGGGAAACUUACGCUAAUACCGCAUACGACCUACGGGUGAAAGCAGGGGAUCUUCGGACCUUGCGCGAUUGAAUGAGCCGAUGUCGGAUUAGCUAGUUGGCGGGGUAAAGGCCCACCAAGGCGACGAUCCGUAGCUGGUCUGAGAGGAUGGUCAGCCACACUGGAACUGAGACACGGUCCAGACUCCUACGGGAGGCAGCAGUGGGGAAUAUUGGACAAUGGGCGCAAGCCUGAUCCAGCCAUACCGCGUGGGUGAAGAAGGCCUUCGGGUUGUAAAGCCCUUUUGUUGGGAAAGAAAAGCAGCAGGUUAAUACCCCGCUGUUCUGACGGUACCCAAAGAAUAAGCACCGGCUAACUUCGUG
rnacentral:rRNA from 1 species